UAUGUCAUGUCUGUGCUUCUUAUUUUGUAGUGUUUAUUUAUACACGCACUCCCUGAACUUGCUCCCCAACUCUCAGUGCUCAUCAUUACAGAAUAACACCUCACCUAAGGGAAGCAUCAGGGAGUGUUUUUAGUUUUUUUGGUGGGAAUGACAUCGGGUCCAGGAGCCGCUACAGGCUCUCAUGCCCUGCCUCCGCUGGUUCGUCUGGCUCUCAUGCCUCAGCCAGAUCUCCAGGCUCCAGUGCCUGUCAGGUUCCCACACCCCAGCCGGCGACAGGUCAAAGCUGUCCACAGUUGCCUGUGAGGACAUAAAGGAACUGGAGAAGAAGUUCCAGAAGAAAGUAGAGCAGCUCAUCCAGAAAUACAGCGACACAUUCAAAGCGCUCAAUACAACUCACUCCUAGAUGUUUUAAAGCCCUCUGUAGUUAAGUUUUAUGACUCAACAAAUUCAUGUUUUAUUUUAAUCUCAUCCACUAGGGGUGAUGGCAGACACACAGAAUGUAUUCAUGUUGUUUUUCUCUUGGCCCGUUUAAUUAACAAGAAUUAUAUUUAGACGUAUAAUAAUUAGCUUUAGGCAGAUUUUGAAUAUUCCUCAGCUAAUGUGUUUUUCUUGGUA